AGAGUACUACACAGCUACUGUGGAGGUAAGAAAGAGUACUUCACAGCUACAGUGGAGGUAAGAGAGAGUACUACACAGCUACUGUGGAGGUAAGAGAGAGUACUACACAGCUACUGUGGAGGUAAGAGAGAGUACUACACAGCUACUGUGGAGGUAAGAGAGAGUACUACACAGCUACUGUGGAGGUAAGAGAGAGUACUACACAGCUACUGUGGAGGUAAGAGAGAGUACUACACAGCUACUGUGGAGGUAAGAGAGAGUACUACACAGCUACAGUGGAGGUAAGAGAGAGUACUACACAGCUACUGUGGAGGUAAGAGAGAGUACUACACAGCUACAGUGGAGGUAAGAGAGAGUACUACACAGCUACUGUGGAGGUAAGAGAGAGUACUACACAGCUACUGUGGAGGUAAGAGAGAGUACUACACAGCUACUGUGGAGGUAAGAGAGAGUACUACACAGCUACUGUGGAGGUAAGAGAGAGUACUACACAGCUACUGUGGAGGUAAGAGAGAGUACUACACAGCUACUGUGGAGGUAAGAGAGAGUACUACACAGCUACUGUGGAGGUAAGAGAGAGUACUACACAGCUACUGUGGAGGUAAGAGAGAGUACUACACAGCUACUGUGGAGGUAAGAGAGAGUACUACACAGCUACUGUGGAGGUAAGAGAGAGUACUACACAGCUACAGUGGAGGUAAGAGAGAGUACUACACAGCUACUGUGUGACUUGUUGGAUCAAAGUCAGUGUCUCUGUCACUAGAAGCCAUCACUACACCUCAGACUGAGACAAACGUUAUAUUUUCAUUUUCUAUUACAUUAUUUCUCCGUCUCACUG